rnacentral:rRNA from 1 species
UACGUAGGUGACCAGCGUUGUCCGGAUUUACUGGGCGUAAAGAGCGCGCAGGCGGUCGUUCAAGUCGAGUGUGAAAGCCCCCGGCUCAACUGGGGAGGGUCAUUCGAUACUGAUCGACUUGAAGGCAGGAGAGGGAAGUGGAAUUCCCGGUGUAGUGGUGAAAUGCGUAGAUAUCGGGAGGAACACCAGUGGCGAAGGCGACUUCCUGGCCUGUUCUUGACGCUGAGGUGCGAAAGCGUGGGGAGCAAACAGG